UUAGCAUCAAAGAUCCUUUAGCAGAGCUCUGCUAUAGGAUCUUUGGUUAGUAUUUGAAUAUCUACCGCGCAUCGCGCUGUCACAAAUGGAAGGUUACUUUUCAGCAAAUUCAUUCAAAAGCAUGAUGUCAUUUUUCACGGGUCCAGUUCAUCCCAAGUGUUGCUCUAUUCCAUGUUUUUAGAAGUUAUAACACAAUAUCUAAUAAAAUACAAUAACAUGCAAGUAACAUAUCCAAGCAAUAUGGGAAGACUUGAAACCAUUGUUUUAGACCCCCACUAGCUUGAAUCUCUAACCAUUCCAGAAAAUUAACCCAAGCUGGGUCAGAUCAUUUGCAAUUUUUGCAUUGUGUUAACAGAGGGUUAUGUUUUAACCAUAUUGCUGUUCCACUACUUAAGUCAACUAUUUCAAUGUCCAUAAUGCCACCUAGCUCCAUUCCAUUUCAGUUUCUGGGAUACUGAUAACAUAAUCACAAGUGUGUUGAUUGUGCUAAUAACACCUUUCCAUGUUCUACCCAAACUGAAUAUUUUUCAAAUAUUAUUAAAAAAUACAGCUUGACAUGUGAUUCUUCAAAACUUUGCUUGCACUGGGUCUUGCUCUAACAACACCCCAUCUCUAACAACACCCCAAGUCUUCCUAUUGUUUGUGUUUGUGCCCACGAUCUCUAUGUGUGGCCGUCUCCGUAUGUGUGUGUCAAUCUGGUUAAAAUCUGGUUAAUUCCUAUCUUCUUCCUAACGCUUGGCCAUAGCUUUCCCAUUUUCACAUAUCAUACUCACAUGUUUCCCAUGGUCGCCAUAAAUAUCUUCCCGUCGCAUUUCCACCUUUAUUUUCGAAGUUCCAGCCUUUUAAAAUACCCAAAACCAAGUUUUUAAACCCACUAACAAAAUACUGAAUAGUGGAAGUUGGGAAGAUACGGCAGGUAAAUCUCAUAAAUAAUUGGAAAAUACUUUUAUUUGCUGACUGGGUCAAUCAAAAGCAUUUGUCAGAUUGAAAGGCAUACAACUGACUCUUCUUGCAAAUCUAUGUUGGUUGUUGAUUUAACAGCACUGAAGCCGCACUUGCUCUCUGGAUAAACAUGUUCAAAUAAGUACUUGCAGUUUUUUAAAGAAAGACCCAUAUGGAUAUUGUGUCAGCAACACCAAGGGGUGAAAUUCCACUACAGUUGUUGUAAUUGUUUGAUUUCCAAGUAAAAAGCAAAGUCAACUUCUGCCACGAAGAACUUAUUUUCACUCAAGUAUACCUUAUUGCACAGUGAAAUUAAACUGACCAAUUUUCCCAAUAGGUUUUUGGUGCUGGUUUGUGAUGAACUUAAAUUGGCCACCAUUCCAAAGAAAAUAACAAUUAACAUCACAGGUGUCAGUAUUGUUUUUGGUGUACAAUAUUGUAUUCAAGUUUCAUAAGCACAUGAAAGUGCUAUUUAAGGAGGACAUUAAAACUUCAACAAAG